rnacentral:rRNA from 1 species
GUCCACGCCGUAAACGAUGGAUACUAGGUGUGGGAGGUAUUGACCCCUUCCGUGCCGCAGUUAACACAAUAAGUAUCCCACCUGGGGAGUACGGCCGCAAGGUUGAAACUCAAAGGAAUUGACGGGGCCCGCACAAGCAGUGGAGUAUGUGGUUUAAUUCGAAGCAACGCGAAGAACCUUACCAGGUCUUGACAUCCCGAUGACCGCCUUAGAGAUAAGGCUUUUCUUCGGAACAUCGGAGACAGGUGGUGCAUGGUUGUCGU